rnacentral:lncRNA from 1 species
UUUUGGUUGUGUUUUCAAUUUGUACACAAAUUCAGGAACAAAAGUUUGCACGAGUUGUAGCAGCCAUGAUAAUUAGUUGAAAGAUUCUUCCCAAUGUUUUGAAAAUUGUUGUUGCCUUCAACGGUUUUGAGGUCUCAACGAUUUUCGAAAAUCGGUAAAGGCCUAAACGAUUUUCAAAAAUAAGUGAAGGCCUCCACGGUUUUAAAAAUCAGUUAAAGGUCUCAAUGGUUUUCCUCCUCACUAGUUUUUCCAAAUCAAUGCACAUCAGGCCAAACCAACAUUAUUCAAAGUCUAUAACUAUGCAAAUGUAAAAAAAAAAAAAGAAAAAAAAUGAACAAAUACCUUAUCUUUCCUUGCUUUGAAAAAGUAACUAUGCAAAGGGUGUUGUAGUGGUAUGUGGUGGUAUGAAACUUUGUCUAUGCAAAGGUGGUGAUGGAAUGACACGAAGAGAAGAACAAGAAUGGAGAAGAGAAUAAGAAGAACAAAGGACAGGGGGCAGUGG